rnacentral:sRNA from 1 species
AUUGAUGCCAAGUCCUUGCCAUUCCAGA